rnacentral:rRNA from 1 species
CACUCCUACGGGAGGCAGCAGUGGGGAAUUUUGGACAAUGGGCGAAAGCCUGAUCCAGCAAUGCCGCGUGAGUGAAGAAGGCCUUCGGGUUGUAAAGCUCUUUUGUCAGGGAAGAAACGGUGAGAGCUAAUAUCUCUUGCUAAUGACGGUACCUGAAGAAUAAGCACCGGCUAACUACGUGCCAGCAGCCGCGGUAAUACGUAGGGUGCAAGCGUUAAUCGGAAUUACUGGGCGUAAAGCGUGCGCAGGCGGUUUUGUAAGUCUGAUGUGAAAUCCCCGGGCUCAACCUGGGAAUUGCAUUGGAGACUGCAAGGCUAGAAUCUGGCAGAGGGGGGUAGAAUUCCACGUGUAGCAGUGAAAUGCGUAGAUAUGUGGAGGAACACCGAUGGCGAAGGCAGCCCCCUGGGUCAAGAUUGACGCUCAUGCACGAAAGCGUGGGGAGCAAACAGGAUUAGAUACCCCUGUAGUCCCA